AUAAACGCUGGCGGCGUGCGUUACGCAUGCAAGUCGCACGGUUCCCUUUUUUCGGAAAGGGGUAGUGGCGGACGGGUGAGUAACACGUACGUGACCUGCCCUGUGGGCGGGGGAUAACGGCGCGAAAGGGUCGCUAAUACCGCAUGAGCUCUCUUUCUUGCGAGAGGGAGAGGAAACCCGCGAAGGGGUCACGGGAGGGGCGUGCGGGGGAUUAGCUAGUUGGUGGGGUAACGGCCUACCAAGGCGACGAUCCCUAGCUGGCUGAGAGGACGGCCAGCCACACGGGGACUGAGACACCGGCCCCGACUCCUACGGGAGGCAGCAGCGAGGAAUCUUGC
rnacentral:rRNA from 1 species